UACGGAGGAUCCGAGCGUUAUCCGGAUUCAUUGGGUUUAAAGGGUGCGCAGGCGGGAAAUUAAGUCGGCGGUGAAAUUUUGCAGCUCAACUGUAAAAGUGCCUUCGAAACUGGUUUCCUUGAGUGUAGAUGAAGUAGGCGGAAUUUGUGGUGUAGCGGUGAAAUGCAUAGAUAUCACGAGGAACUCCGAUUGCGCAGGCAGCUUACUAAACUACUACUGACGCUCAGGCACGAAGGCGUGGGGAUCAAACAGGAUUAGAUACCCUGGUA
rnacentral:rRNA from 1 species